UGGGGAAUAUUGCACAAUGGGCGAAAGCCUGAUGCAGCGACGCCGCGUGCGGGAUGAAGGCCUUCGGGUUGUAAACCGCUUUUAAUUGGGAGCAAGCGAGAGUGAGUGUACCUUUUGAAUAAGCACCGGCUAACUACGUGCCAGCAGCCGCGGUAAUACGUAGGGUGCAAGCGUUAUCCGGAAUUAUUGGGCGUAAAGAGCUCGUAGGCGGUUUGUCACGCCUGGUGUGAAAGUCCAUCGCUUAACGGUGGAUCUGCGCCGGGUACGGGCAGGCUAGAGUGCAGUAGGGGAGAUUGGAAUUCCCGGUGUAACGGUGGAAUGUGUAGAUAUCGGGAAGAACACCAAUGGCGAAGGCAGAUCUCUGGGCUGUUACUGACGCUGAGGAGCGAAAGCAUGGGGAGCGAACAGGAUUAGAUACCCUGGUAGUCCAUGCCGUAAAACGGUGGAUGCUGGAUGUGGGACCCUUCCACGGGUUCCGUGUCGGAGCUAACGCGUUAAGCAUCCCCGCCUGGGGAGUACGGCCGCAAGGCUA
rnacentral:rRNA from 1 species